GUUGACCUCGGAUCAGGUAGGAUUACCCGCUGAACUUAAGCAUAUCAAUAAGCGGAGGAAAAGAAACCAACAGGGAUUGCCUCAGUAACGGCGAGUGAAGCGGCAACAGCUCAGAUUUGGAAUCUGGUCCUUUUGGGGCCCGAGUUGUAAUCUGGAGAGGAUGCUUCUGGCGCGGCGCCGUCCGAGUUCCCUGGAACGGGACGCCGGAGAGGGUGAGAGCCCCGUACGGUCGGACGCCUAGCCUGUGUGAAGCUCCUUCGACGAGUCGAGUAGUUUGGGAAUGCUGCUCAAAAUGGGAGGUAAAUUUCUUCUAAAGCUAAAUACCGGCCAGAGACCGAUAGCGCACAAGUAGAGUGAUCGAAAGAUGAAAAGCACUUUGAAAAGAGG
rnacentral:rRNA from 2 species